AGAGUUUGAUUAUGGCUCAGAACGAACGCUGGCGGCAGGCUUAACACAUGCAAGUUGAACGGGAUUUAAGAUAGCUUGCUAUUUAGAUGAGAGUGGCGCACGGGUGAGUAAUACGUGGGAACAUACCUAUUGGUUCGGAACAACUGUUGGAAACGACAGCUAAUACCGGAUAAGCCCUGAGGGGGAAAGAUUUAUUGCCGAUAGAAUGGCCCGCGGCAGAUUAGGCAGUUGGUGGGGUAAAGGCCUACCAAACCGACGAUCUGUAGCUGGUCUGAGAGGACGAUCAGCCACAUUGGGACUGAGACACGGCCCAGACUCCUACGGGAGGCAGCAGUGAGGAAUAUUGGGCAAUGGGGGAAACCCUGACCCAAGCCAUGCCGCGUGAGUGAAGAAGGUUUUCGAAUUGUAAAGCUCCUUCGGGAGAGAAGAUGAUGACGGUAUCUCCAGAAGAAGCCCCGGCAAACUUCGUGCCAGCCGCAGC
rnacentral:rRNA from 1 species